rnacentral:tRNA from 1 species
GUCUCUGUAGCGCAAUAGUUUGCGCAUUGGACUUCUAAUCCAAAGGUCGUGGUUUCGAAUCCCACCUGAAACA